GAUGAACGCUGGCGGCGUGCCUAAUACAUGCAAGUAGAACGCUGAAGGAGGAGCUUGCUCUUCUGGAUGAGUUGCGAACGGGUGAGUAACGCGUAGGUAACCUGCCUGGUAGCGGGGGAUAACUAUUGGAAACGAUAGCUAAUACCGCAUGACAACAGUUAUUGCAUGAUAACUGUUUAAAAGGGGCAACUGCUCCACUACCAGAUGGACCUGCGUUGUAUUAGCUAGUUGGUGAGGUAACGGCUCACCAAGGCGACGAUACAUAGCCGAACUGAGAGGGUGAGCGGCCACACUGGGACGGUGACACGGCCCAGACUCCUACGGGAGGCAGCAGUAGGGAAUCGUCGGGAAUCGACGGAAGUCUGACCGAGCAACGCCGCGUGAGGAAAGAAGGUUGUCGGGUCGUAAAGCUCUGUUGUAAGAGAAGAACGAGUGUGAGAGUGGAAAGUUCACACUGUGACGGUAUCUUACCAGAAAGGGACGGCUAACUACGUG
rnacentral:rRNA from 1 species